rnacentral:tRNA from 1 species
GGCCUGUUAGCUCAGUGGUUUGAGCGCGGUGCUGACAACAAUGGCCACACCGAGGGCGCGGGUUCAAUUCCCGUUCAGUCCC